rnacentral:tRNA from 1 species
UUGUUAGCUCAGUUGGUAGAGCAAUUGACUCUUAAUCAAUGGGUCUAGGGUUCGAAUCCCU